CCCCGCCACAUUCUUUAUAUAUAUCAGUAUUGUUAAAACUUGUGACACUUGAAGAAGGCCAUUUGUUGAGCCGAAAUAUUUGUCAACACGAUUUAAUAACAACAUUUUCGUAUAAUAACAUCUUAUAUCAGUACCGUUGUGCAAAUUUUUAGACUGAUAUAUUUUUUUCCUUAUCUGCAUAGUAUCGCCUAUUCUAGACGAUCCGGUACGUAGUAAAUUUGCUGGUUGGUCCUUUUUAUAGACUUUUAUAUAUAA
rnacentral:lncRNA from 1 species